GUCCAAAAUACAGUGAUGUUUUCUUUUCCAAGCAUGUAUCUGAUUGCUCUAUGUGGAAAAUGACUGUUAUUGAGUGUUUUGGAU
ensembl:snoRNA